rnacentral:rRNA from 1 species
GACGAACGCUGGCGGCGUGCUUAACACAUGCAAGUCGAACGAGUGGGAACGGGUGAGUAAUACGUGGGUAACCUCCCAUCAGAGGGGAUAACACUUGGAAACAGGUGCUAAACCGAUACUGAUGGAUGGACCCGCGGUGCAUUAGCUAGUUGGUGGGGUAACGGCUCACCAAGGCCACGAUGCAUAGCCGACCUGAGAGGGUGAUCGGCCACACUGGGACUGAGACACGGCCCAGACUCCUACGGGAGGCAGCAGUAGGGAAUCUUGGACAAUGGGCGAAAGCCUGAUCCAGCCAUGCCGCGUGUGUGAAGAAGGUCUUCGGAUUGUAAAGCACUUUAAGUUGGGAGGCGUUACCAACAGAAUAAGCACCGGCUAACUUCGUGCCAGCAGCCGCGGUAAUUC